rnacentral:rRNA from 1 species
AGAUUGAACGCUAGCGGGAUGCUUUACACAUGCAAGUCGAACGGCAGCGCGGACUUCGGUCUGGCGGCGAGUGGCGAACGGGUGAGUAAUAUAUCGGAACGUGCCCAGUAGCGGGGGAUAACUACGCGAAAGCGUGGCUAAUACCGCAUACGCCCUACGGGGGAAAGGGGGGGAUCGCAAGACCUCUCACUAUUGGAGCGGCCGAUAUCAGAUUAGCUAGUUGGUGAGGUAAAGGCUCACCAAGGCGACGAUCUGUAGCUGGUUUGAGAGGACGACCAGCCACACUGGGACUGAGACACGGCCCAGACUCCUACGGGAGGCAGCAGGUGGGGUAAUUUUGGACAAGUGGGGGAAACCCUGAUCCAGCCAUCCCGCGUGUGCGAUGAAGGCCUUCGGGUUGUAAGCUACGUUUUGGCGUAAGGAAGAAAACGGCGUACCCGUUAAGUACCGGGACGUCGACGUGACCGGUACCUGCAAGAAUAACGCACCGACUAACUACGU